GGCCUACCAUGGUGGUAACGGGUAACGGGGUGUUAGGGCACGACACCGGAGAGGGAGCCUGAGAAACGGCUACCACAUCCAAGGAUGGCAGCAGGCGCGCAAAUUACCCAAUCCCGACAUGGGGAGGUAGUGACAAUAAAUAACAAUACGGGGUCCUUUCGGGUCUCGUAAUUGGAAUGAGUACAAUUUAAAUCUCUUAACGAGGAACAAUUGGAGGGCAAGUCUGGUGCCAGCAGCCGCGGUAAUUCCAGCUCCAAUAGCGUAUAUUAAAGUUGUUGCAGUUAAAAAGCUCGUAGUUGAAUUUCGGGAUCAUCAUGUCGGUCGUGCCUCUGGUACGUACUGGUAUCGUUGAUUUCUACCUUCUGACGAACUAUGAUGUCAUUAAUUUGGUGUCAUGGGGAAUCAGGACUGUUACUUUGAAAAAAUUAGAGUGUUUAAAGCAGGCACACGCUUGAAUACAUUAGCAUGGAAUAAUGAAAUAGGACGUUUGACCCUAUUUUGUUGGUUUUUAGGAUCGACGUAAUGAUUAAUAGGGAUAGUUGGGGGCAUUAGUAUUCAAUUGUCAGAGGUGAAAUUCUUGGAUUUAUUGAAGACUAACUACUGCGAAAGCAUUUGCCAAGGAUGUUUUCAUUAAUCAAGAACGAAAGUUAGGGGAUCGAAGACGAUCAGAUACCGUCGUAGUCUUAACCAUAAACUAUGCCGACUAGGGAUCGGAUGAUGUUAAUUUUUUAAUGACUCAUUCGGCGCCUUACG
rnacentral:rRNA from 1 species